GAUGAACGCUGGCGGCGUGCCUAAUACAUGCAAGUCGAGCGAACAGACGAGGAGCUUGCUCCUCUGACGUUAGCGGCGGACGGGUGAGUAACACGUGGAUAACCUACCUAUAAGACUGGGAUAACUUCGGGAAACCGGAGCUAAUACCGGAUAAUAUAUUGAACCGCAUGGUUCAAUAGUGAAAGACGGUUUUGCUGUCACUUAUAGAUGGAUCCGCGCCGCAUUAGCUAGUUGGUAAGGUAACGGCUUACCAAGGCAACGAUGCGUAGCCGACCUGAGAGGGUGAGCGGCCACACUGGAACUGAGACACGGUCCAGACUCCUACGGGAGGCAGCAGGAGGGAAUCUUCCGCAAUGGGCGAAAGCCUGACGGAGCAACGCCGCGUGAGUGAUGAAGGUCUUCGGAUCGUAAAACUCUGUUAUUAGGGAAGAACAAAUGUGUAAGUAACUAUGCACGUCUUGACGGUACCUAAUCAGAAAGCCACGGCUAACUACGUG
rnacentral:rRNA from 1 species